AACGUAGGAGACAAACGUUAUCCGGAGUUACUGGGCGUAAAGGGCGUGUAGGCGGUUAGUUAAGUCUGGCGUGAAAGCUCUCGGCUAAACCGGGAGAGGUCGUUGGAUACUGGCAAACUAGAGGACGGUAGAGGCGUGUGGAAUUCCGGGUGUAGUGGUGAAAUGCGUAGAGAUCGGGAGGAACACCAGUGGCGAAGGCGGCUCGCUGGGCCGGACCUGACGCUGAGACGCGAAGGCGUGGGGAGCGAACGGG
rnacentral:rRNA from 1 species